rnacentral:lncRNA from 1 species
AAAAGUUGGAUUUGAAAACCAAACUUUAAAACCAUGCUGCCACCUCAAACUGGUCCUUUCCUAGAAUGUUUAAAGUGUUUCAAAAUUGAGUAAAAAAAUAAUUGAGCUCCUCUCUAGCUAAACAUGUUGUUUAAAAGUUGGAUUUGAAAAACAAACUUUAAAACCAUGCUGCCACCUCAAACUGGUCCUUUCCUAAAAUGUUUGUCAACCAAUUGUGUUUUCUAUGGUAAUCAAACUCAAGUUAUAACUCGCAAAAACGUAGUAGUUUACAAACACACAUCCCUUGUUCGAGUUAACUCGUAGAAUUGUUUUUGAGUAGGCUUGAGGUAAACUCAGGUGAACUUGGCCAAAAUCAUGAGGUCACUUCCCAGUUGGCGAGUUCAGAUGUUAUUAUUUGUUUAAUUGAAAAUGAUGCCACUUUAUGUCAUUUUGCUUGAAAAGACCCAGGAUUAGGGUUAUCCGCAAUCCCAUUUCUUUUGUCUUUUCUCUUUGUUCCUGCUAGUGGAAAUUGGUGACAGAGCUGCUGCUCUCAUCACGCGCCAAAGUUACUUUACUUUUAAGACUUGUUAAAUAAACCCAUUUCCUCAUUUAAUCCUACUGAGCAAUAAUUUAGGGAGGUUGAGUGUAUCAGGUAUAGCUGAGGAUAUUUAAAACACCACCAGUCAUUUGUCGCCAUAUGUGAGGGCUUUUUGGCAUAAGGGAAAGGGAUACCCAAGAAGGAAUGGGGUUCGAAGAACUAUUGUUCCGGGUUCCAAGAACUAUUGUUAUUUUCGGCCUAAACAUACCCUAGUUCACUUGUCUGGUUAUGUAAAUCUCUGUCCAACUCAUUAUUAGUAAAGCAUAUUCAGCUCCCUAAUCUUCCACUUGUUUUAUAAUCAUGUAGACAUUCUCAUCUUCCUUCUAGGUACCCGCAUUAAUUCACUAUUGGAGUUCCC